CGCGUAGGCGGCUUGGCAAGUCAGAUGUGAAAGCCCCGGGCUUAACCCGGGAAUUGCAUCUGAAACUGCUUAGCUUGAGUCCUGGAGGGGGUAGUGGAAUUCCCAGUGUAGCGGUGAAAUGCGUAGAUAUUGGGAGGAACACCUGCGGCGAAGGCGGCUACCUGGACAGUGACUGACGCUGAGGCGCGAAAGCUAGGGGAGCGAACG
rnacentral:rRNA from 1 species